GAGCCAUACUUCUGGCUCCUGUCUAUUCAAACAAAAAUCUGAGAAUCCCCUCCAAAUUCCUCUCUUUACUACUCUACUCUCCCUUCUUCCCUUCCCUCACUGUACAAACACCCACGUUACAGUUCAGUACAAUCCAAAGGCCAUGUCGUUGAGGCCGAACGCGAGAGUAGAGGUGAGGAGGAACAGGUACAAGGUGGCGGUGGAUGCAGAUGAAGGGAGGAGGAGGAGGGAGGACAACAUGGUGGAGAUCCGAAAGAGUAAGAGAGAAGAAAGCUUGCUUAAGAAGCGGCGUGAGGGACUUCAUGCCCAACAACGUCAACAACAACAACAAGUCACCUCCUCUCUUAACAUUUCUUCCGCUUCUGAUAAGCCGUUAGAUACUCUUCCUGGAAUGAUUGCUGGUGUUUGGUCAGAGGACAAGCAUUCGCAGCUUGAGGGAACUACUCAUUUCCGAAAGCUGCUCUCUAUUGAACGCUGCCCUCCGAUCAAUGAAGUUAUACAAUCAGGGGUUGUCCCCCGCUUCGUUGAGUUUCUUGCAAGGGAUGAUUUUCCACAGCUUCAGUUUGAGGCGGCGUGGGCACUAACGAAUAUCGCUUCUGGGACAUCAGAAAACACCAGGGUUGUAAUUGACCAUGGGGCAAUCCCAAUUUUUGUCAAACUCUUAAGUUCUCCAGCUGAUGAUGUCAGGGAACAGGCUGUUUGGGCAUUAGGAAAUGUUGCUGGGGACUCACCAAAAUGCCGUGAUCUGGUCCUUGGCCAUGGGGCUUUGAUGCCUUUGCUUGCGCAAUUCAAUGACCAAGCAAAGCAUUCAUUGUUAAGAAAUGCAACUUGGACAUUAUCAAACUUCUGCAGGGGCAAGCCCCAACCUUUAUUCGACCAGACAAAACCUGCCCUCCCAGCUCUACAGCGUCUCAUACAUUCAAAUGAUGAGGAGGUCCUCACAGAUGCAUGCUGGGCUCUGUCGUAUCUCUCAGAUGGAUCCAAUGAAAAAAUCCAGGCUGUUAUCGAGGCUGGUGUCUGCCCCCGACUUGUUGAGCUUUUGCUUCAUCCAUCUCCGACAGUGCUCAUCCCUGCUCUACGUACAGUUGGAAAUAUUGUUACUGGAGAUGACAUGCAGACUCAAUGUAUGAUAAACCAUCAAGCUCUCCCAUGCCUAUUGAACUUACUGACAAAUAAUUACAAGAAGAGCAUCAAGAAGGAAGCAUGCUGGACAAUCUCAAACGUCACAGCUGGAAAUGUAAAUCAGAUACAGGCGGUACUUGAAGCAGGUAUUAUUGGUCCUCUUGUCCAAUUGCUUCAAAAUGCUGAAUUUGAGAUCAAGAAAGAAGCUGCUUGGGCAAUUUCAAAUGCAUCAUCGGGUGGAAGCCAUGAACAAAUCAAGUUUCUGGUGAACCAGGGAUGCAUCAAGCCAUUAUGUGAUCUUUUGAUUUGUCCCGACCCUAGAAUUGUCACAGUUUGCUUAGAUGGUCUAGAGAACAUUCUAAAGGUUGGGGAAGCUGAAAAGAAUUUGGGAAGGACAGGAAAUGCAAAUCUGUACACCCAAAUGAUUGAAGAUGUUGAGGGUUUGGAAAAGAUUGAGAACCUUCAGAGUCAUGACAACAAUGAAAUAUAUGAGAAAGCAGUGAAGAUUUUGGAGACGUAUUGUGUGGAGGAUGGUGAUGACUUUGAGGCAUUUCCUCCUGGUGAUGCUUCCCAAUCUGGAUUUCAGUUUGGUGGUACCGGAGUUCCUGUUCCUUCCAACGGAUUUAAUUUCAGUUAAGCAGGACCUAAGUUGAUGGUGGAAUGAAGCUGAGAGUCCAGGUUUCAAUCGUCGAUGAAUGUUGUUUCUUCUUUUUGGGUAGGGAAGUCAAAUGCCAUCGGAUCUUUCUCUGGUUCAUAUUCGGAUGUGGUCGAAGAGAUUCUCUUUCACAGAGGUUUUAAAAUAGGUUUGUGAAGCCCAGAAUUGCCAUUGCUGGUGGAAAGUACAGAAAGUUUCGAGUCUUUUUUUUUUUUUUUUUUUUCUCCUUUUCCUUUUGCUGGGCAUUAUUUUGUCAUGCCCUAGUUUUACCAUAUCACUAGGAUGGAGCUGCUCAUCACAGCUUGCAUCCAUCUGUCUGUUCUAUAAUUUAGAGCAAUGAUAGGAAGAAACUAAACAUGCUAUUUGUUCUUUCCUUUUAAGGUCUUUUCAUAUCUCAGAAUUGUCAUUCUGAUUAAAAGAAACUAGAAAAUGCAUCAAUUUUCAGUUUCGAGGUGGGAUUUUUGUUGACUGUGAAACAAAAAAGAAGAAUUUUUUAUAUAAAAUUUACAAUUAUUGCUUUC